rnacentral:tRNA from 1 species
AGAAUCUUAGAUUAACUUGAAAUCGGAAACUUUCAAAGUUUCAAAUAGGAAAUAAGUUCCUAGGUUCUG